GGUUAUGGCUCAGUGGUAGAGUGCUUGCCUAGCACGUGCAAGGCCCUGGGUUCGAUCCUCAGUACCA
rnacentral:tRNA from 1 species